rnacentral:rRNA from 1 species
AUCCANGANGCAGCAGGCGCGUAAAUUACUGCAAGUUUACAGAACGAAGUAGUGACGAGAAAUAGCAGUGAGGUGCGCUGUGCGUAUCUCGACUGAAAUGAGAGCGAUUUAAAACCCCCAUCGAGGAUCAAUUGGAGGGCAAGUCUGGUGCCAGCAGCCGCGGUAAUUCCAGCUCCAAUAGCGUAUACUAAAGUUGUUGCAGUUAAAAAGCUCGUAGUCGAACGUGUGGCGUGCGCGCGGGUCCGUCGGGGGGCGAAUGCCCGUCGAGCAGCGACUCGCGCGGUGCCAGUCUGGCACUUUUUUGAGGUGCCUCUUUCACUGGAAAAAAAUUAGGGUGUUUCAAGCAAAGGUUGAUAUUGGAAUAUGAUAGUAUGGGAUGAUGAAAUAGGCCGUUGGCGGUAUUUUGUUGGUUUGCGCGUUGGCGGAAUGAUGAAGAGGGACAGUUGGGGGUAUUCGAAUUCUAGUGUCAGAGGUGAAAUUCUUGGAUUACUAGAAGGCGAACGACUGCGAAAGCAUUUACCAAGGAUGUUUUCAUUGAUCAAGAACGAAAGUAUGGGGAUCGAAGAUGAUUAGAUCACCUCUCU